rnacentral:rRNA from 1 species
UACGGGGGGGGCAAGCGUUGUUCGGAAUUACUGGGCGUAAAGGGCUCGUAGGCGGCCAACUAAGUCGGAUGUGAAAUCCCCAGGCUUAACCUGGGAACUGCAUCCGAUACUGGAUGGCUUGAAUCCGGGAGAGGGAUGCGGAAUUCCAGGUGUAGCGGUGAAAUGCGUAGAUAUCUGGAGGAACACCGGUGGCGAAGGCGGCUUCCUGGACCGACACUGACGCUGAGGCGCGAAAGCUAGGGGAGCAAACAGG